UACGUAGGGUGCGAGCGUUGUCCGGAAUUAUUGGGCGUAAAGAGCUUGUAGGCGGUUUGUCGCGUCUGUUGUGAAAAUCCGGGGCUCAACCCCGGACUUGCAGUGGGUACGGGCAGACUAGAGUGUGGUAGGGGAGACUGGAAUUCCUGGUGUAGCGGUGAAAUGCGCAGAUAUCAGGAGGAACACCGAUGGAGAAGGCAGGUCUCUGGGCCACUACUGACGCUGAGAAGCGAAAGCAUGGGGAGCGAACAGGAUUAGAUACCCU
rnacentral:rRNA from 1 species